GCUCACGUGCGAUACGCCUAUGUCAAUGACUCUAGACAGUCCAAAAUCCGCAAGUUUGGGCUCCAUAUCAACCCCAAGAAGUAUAUUUGUUGGCUACAAUAACGUGUAUGAAUUGGCAUUACUUGAAUUUGCAGGUGUACUUGAAUCUUUCAGAUAAUGUAACCAACCUUGAUGUCUCGGUGAACAAUGCAGCCCUCAGGGAAUAUGUGAAGGAACCAAAGGCCGCAAGCACUGCCAAGUGCGAUCUGAAGUCUCUGAGUCCAUGAUAGGCUCUUAUCCUUCCCUGUCAUCAAAUUUGUUACUUUAAGUCAUAGAGAAUAUUACAUAAUACAUCCUGUCGUCUCCUCAAAUAUGUACUUACCAAAUAGCCAUUCUGAUAGGUUACCAUUGACGCACAGCUCAUACACAAGAAAGCACUCUUCCUGCCCGUCACAGUAACCUCUUAAUGACACAAGGUAACCUCCUCAUACUCAACAGACGCCGUACCAACCUCUGCAACAUAAAGAUGUCCAAUUGCAUACCGCUAUUAGCAAGUAAAACUACCAGCAUCUGCAAUUUUACCGCUGAGUUCAAACCCGAUGAUCACCGCUGCGACGAGGCACCCAAGCAGUACUCCAUAUCCUGCAUACUCUCAGAAGGCAAAGAAUUUCAAGUCCUCAGAAGGCAAAGAAUUUCAAGUCACGGGUAGAGAGGAAGGGGGGAGGCAGGUAAGAUAGACACACCUGUAUGCAUUUAGCUGUAGAACGUCUGGGAAUAACACAAGGUCGCUUUUCUGUCACUGUGAAUGUUCCAACGGAAGCAAAUUAAUACCAUGGCCACUCUCUAACCAGUCGUUAUUAGCAAUGAUGAAAAGCCAUUGCCGGCCAAGGGCCAUAACAGAAGAAGCCAAAGCACUUAAAAAUAUGGACCAAGGAAUCGGGCCAGGUCUGGACCAGAAUACAGCAUCAACUGAGUCUCAUGUCAGAUCGACCAUCAGGAGAGCCAAGGGCCAAGCCUGGACUGGAGCCUCCAAGAAAGAACUAGCAUUCUCCCUGAUCAACUAGCAAGGUGCAGAUUCAGAUUGCAUUACAAGCCUCCGAUGAAAUGAAUGGGAGAUGUUCGAUGGACAAAGACAAUACCCCCCAAAGUUGUUACGCCCUUUGCCUUUUGUGAUGCAACAGCACAUCUGCCUACCAUGUGGUAGCAACAAUAGCGCUCUCAACAGGUGAUGGCAGCAUAUCAUGCUUAGAGAUUAAGGAUGUGCCACUGCUGCUACAAAAACGAAGGUGAGCACAUACAUAUGGUAUAAGCUGGUGAUUGACCACUUCAAUCUCUUGUAGUCUGCAAAAAGGCUUUUUAUUUUAAAAAUAUGAUAUGAUGAAUCCCUGGAUGAUUAGAAACUUUUUUUUAGGAUAGAUUAGAAACUAGUAUUGUGUGCUCAGGUUUGUACGCUUCGUUUGUGACGCCCGAGAAAGAAAAGCUUUGCCUUUUCUUCUUUUCCUUUUCUAACUCUUGCCCACAGGUCACUGCUUGUCUGCUUGCCAGCUUCUUUGGAGGCAGACAAGAAAACAAGCUUAAAACAAAAAGGUACCACAUAUACUAUGAAACUUCUGGAUUCAUUUC